AUAAACAGCUGCGCCAUGAGCGCAUGAUACGCCCGUCGUCUUGUGUGUGAAUUUUUAUGCAAUAAGCAUAAAUAGUUUCUGACAUACGGCGUGACAUGCUAAAACACCCUUUUUUUUUUUUACAAAAAACUCAAUAUCUCUAAAAUAAAAUUUUGAAUCAAAACCAAAAAAUAUACAGAUCUUUAGAUUAAUAUAACUAAGAAGUGUGUAAAAUUUUAAGCAAUAAUCAUAAAUCGUUUUUGAGAUAUGGCGCGACAUGUGAAACACCCCUUUUAAAAAAAAAAUCAAUAUCUCAAAAAAAAAAUUUUGAAUCAAAACCAAAAAGUAUACAGAUCUUUAGAUUAAUAUAACUAAGAAGUGUGUAAAAUUUUAAGCAAUAAUCAUAAAUCGUUUUUGAGAUAUGGCGCGACAUGUGAAAAACCCCUCCCCCUUUUUUUACAAAAUACUCAAUAACUCAAAAAUAAAAUUUUGAAUCAUCACCAAAAAGUAUACAGAUCUUAAGGUUAAUAUAACUAAGAAGUGUGUAAAGUUUUAAGCAAUAAUCAUAAACUGUUUUUGAGAAACGGCGCGACAUGUGAAAAACCCCUCCCCCUUUUUUAACAAAAUACUCAAUAUCUCUAAAAUAAAAUUUUGAAUCAUCACCAAAAAGUAUACAGAUCUUAAGAUUAAUAUAACUAAGAAGUGUGUAAAGUUUUAAGCAAUAAUCAUAAAUUGUUUUUGAGAUACGGCGCGAUAUGUGAAAAAAAAACACACACCUGUUUUAGUUACUAAGUCCCUUAACUCAAAAAGUUUUAAUCUUAUUUUCACCAAAAAGUAUACAGAUCGUUUGACCAUCAUGAGAAACAA